rnacentral:SRP_RNA from 1 species
UUAUGGACCUAGGCGGGGGGCUAGGGACCUAGGCUGAUCCCCCGGCCUGGGCUAGAACUCCCCUGUACCGCAAACGCCCUAUACGGCGGGCCGAAUGCCGGCUUGAGGCGUUCCAAGCGUCCACGCAGCCUCCACCAAGGGAUGUGAAACCUCGCCCUGGAGGGUAUCCGGCGGUCGAACAUUUCCUGUAGGGGAAAUGGAGAAGACUGUUACAGACAAACCCGACUAGGGCCGGGAGGCAGCAGUCGUAAGUUUGGUCGGAUGCGCUUCCGGGAUCACGGGAUGGAUUUCCUAGUGAAGGUGUUGGUGGGCGUAAGGGACAUCGAGAGCCGGGGUCCAUUA